rnacentral:ribozyme from 13 species
UGAAAGAAGACAAAAUUUCAAAAAGAAAAAGAAGAAGAAGUGUCACAUCUUUUCUUUCAAGUUUUACUUCCACUUCUCCUUCUUCUUCUCCUCCUUCUUCUCCCU